AAGGACGGAGCCUCAAGGAUGUCGAUGUCCCGGCCCCGCAGUGGCGCAGUGCCGGCCCGUCCCUGGAGCUGUGGCCCCGCUGGGGUCCCCUGCAGAGAAAGAAAUUAGUUAAGCCAUCCACAUGACACUUCAGGUAGCAGCUUGCUGUAAGAAAAUCAAUUCAAGACUUUGAAAUUAUGGCUGCAAUGGGAGCUGGAGAUGGUGGAGGAUCGAGGCACAGAGAGGUGAAAAGAUCUCAGCAAGGUCACACAGAAAGUCUCCUGGUGACAGGUCACAGUUUCAAAGUUCAGCUCCUGUUUGGCAACAUUGGCAUUUUUGAUGCAGCGCAGUUCUCCAGAAAAGCAAACCCUAAUGUCAAGGAACACAGUAUAAAUAAAUUUUCCUGGUAACCAUACAGUUACAGCAUA